rnacentral:rRNA from 1 species
GAUAAACGCUGGCGGCGCACCUAAGACAUGCAAGUUGAACGGACUUAAUCGAAAUAUUUCUAUUUUGAAGCGGUUAGUGGCGGACUGGUGAGUAACGCGUAAGGAACCUGCCUAUUAGAGGGGAAUAACAGUGAGAAAUCAUUGCUAAUACCGCAUAUGCCAUAGAUAUCACAUGAUAACAGUGGGAAAGGAGCAAUCCGCUAAUAGAUGGCCUUGCGUCUGAUUAGAUAGUUGGUGGGGUAACGGCCUACCAAGUCGACGAUCAGUAGCCGGACUGAGAGGUUGAACGGCCACAUUGGGACUGAGAUACGGCCCAGACUCCUACGGGAGGCAGCAGUCGGGAAUAUUGCGCAAUGGAGGAAACUCUGACGCAGUGACGCCGCGUAUAGGAAGAAGGUUUUCGGAUUGUAAACUAUUGUCGUUAGGGAAGAGAAAGGACAGUACCUAAGGAGGAAGCUCCGGCUAACUACGUG